AACGCGAAGAACCUUACCAGGGCUUGACAUCCAUAGAAUCCUGUAGAGAUACAGGAGUGCCUUCGGGAACUAUGAGACAGGUGGUGCAUGGUUGUCGUCAGCUCGUGUCGUGAGAUGUUGGGUUAAGUCCCGCAACGAGCGCAACCCUUAUUGUUAGUUGCCAUCAUUAAGUUGGGCACUCUAACGAGACUGCCGGUGACAAAUCGGAGGAAGGUGGGGAUGACGUCAAAUCAUCAUGCCCCUUAUGUCCUGGGCUACACACGUACUACAAUGGCUGCUAACAAAGUGAAGCAAAGCCGCGAGGUGGAGCAAAUCACAAAAAGCAGUCUCAGUUCAGAUUGUAGGCUGAAACUCGCCUAUAUGAAGUCGGAAUUGCUAGUAAUCGCAGAUCAGCAUGCUGCGGUGAAUACGUUCCCGGGCCUUGUACACACCGUGUCGA
rnacentral:rRNA from 1 species